rnacentral:lncRNA from 1 species
GAAAAAGAUAUGCUGUAAAGGUGGUGAUACUAUAAAGGGUAUUGAGAUAAAAGAACCAGAGAAGCCUAAACCGGCGCCAGAAAAACCCAAAGAAGCACCAAAAGAGCCCGAGAAAACUAAACCUCCACCAGAAAAGCCUAAAGAAGCUAAACCUGAUAAGCCUGUAGUAGUUAUUGUUGAACCACAACCAAAAGAGCCCGAGAAAACUAAACCUCCACAAGAAAAGCCUAAAGAAGCUAAAUCUGAUAAGCCAGUAGUUAUUGUUGAACCACCAAAAGAAAAACCAAAAGAAAAACCAAAAGAUCCUGCCGCGCCUCCUAAGGCUCCUGAAGCGGCAGCUAAACCUCCUGAAUCGGCUUCUAAGCCACCUGCACCGGCUCCUAAGGCUCCUGAACCUGUCCCAUGUUACCCACCA